CAGCAGGAUGCCAGUAUACUCAUCCCCUAAAACCUUCGGGUUGAACCUGGAAGACUGGAAGCCUCAGUGUACUACAGUUCAAAAGAAGCCUCUUUCCGCGUUUGUCACUUCUCUAUGCCUACGUUCUACAUCAUCUGUUGGAACGCCACUCUGUCAUGAACACAGACUAUUGAAAAAUAACACCUAUUCACUGCCAUCAUAAAGCUUGGAACAGCCAGGGCAUUUUUUCAUAUAACUCUGGUUGUAUUCAUCUGAAAGAAGAAAGUCAUAUACAUCUAGGAUGCC